AGUGAACGCUGGCGGUAGGCCUAACACAUGCAAGUCGAACGGCAGCACAGUAAGAGCUUGCUCUUACGGGUGGCGAGUGGCGGACGGGUGAGGGAUACAUCGGAAUCUACUUUUUCGUGGGGGAUAACGUAGGGAAACUUACGCUAAUACCGCAUACGACCUACGGGUGAAAGCAGGGGAUCUUCGGACCUUGCGCGAUUGAAUGAGCCGAUGUCGGAUUAGCUAGUUGGCGGGGUAAAGGCCCACCAAGGCGACGGUCCGUAGCUGGUCUGAGAGGAUGAUCAGCCACACUGGAACUGAGACACGGUCCAGACUCCUACGGGAGGCAGCAGUGGGGAAUAUUGGACAAUGGGCGCAAGCCUGAUCCAGCCAUACCGCGUGGGUGAAGAAGGCCUUCGGGUUGUAAAGCCCUUUUGUUGGGAAAGAAAAGCAGCAGGUUAAUACCCCGCUGUUCUGACGGUACCCAAAGAAUAAGCACCGGCUAACUUCGU
rnacentral:rRNA from 1 species